GGAGGACGGAGAACGAGCGAUGGGAAGUUUGGACUAAAAAUCGGUCGGGUUUCGUCAUCCAAGUGAGUUGUCAUAAUCCAUUGUUGAAUUGGAUUAUUAUCAUCAUCAGAUGGUUGCCCUGCAAUGUCAAGAAGGUCUAUGUAGUCAUUUUCUACAACCUUGUUCAUUUCAGCCUCUUCAUCAUGUAGCUUAAGUUUCAUAUUAUAAUAGCAAAAGACAAUCUUUUC
rnacentral:lncRNA from 1 species